GUGGGGAAUAUUGCACAAUGGGCGCAAGCCUGAUGCAGCAACGCCGCGUGCGGGAUGACGGCCUUCGGGUUGUAAACCGCUUUCAGUUCCGACUAAGCGCAAGUGACGGUAGGAACAGAAGAAGGACCGGCCAACUACGUGCCAGCAGCCGCGGUGAUACGUAGGGUCCGAGCGUUGUCCGGAAUUAUUGGGCGUAAAGGGCUUGUAGGCGGUUUGCUGCGUCGGAAGUGAAAACUCAGGGCUUAACCCUGAGCCUGCUUCCGAUACGGGCAAACUAGAGGGAUGCAGGGGAGAAUGGAAUUCCUGGUGGAGCGGUGGAAUGCGCAGAUAUCAGGAGGAACACCGGUGGCGAAGGCGGUUCUCUGGGCAUUUCCUGACGCUGAGAAGCGAAAGCGUGGGGAGCAAACAGGCUUAGAAACCCUAGUAGUCC
rnacentral:rRNA from 1 species